rnacentral:rRNA from 1 species
GACGAACGCUGGCGGCGUGCUUAACACAUGCAAGUCGAACGGAAAGGCCCUGCUUUUGUGGGGUGCUCGAGUGGCGAACGGGUGAGUAACACGUGAGUAACCUGCCCUUGACUUUGGGAUAACUUCAGGAAACUGGGGCUAAUACCGGAUAGGAGCUCCUGCUGCAUGGUGGGGGUUGGAAAGUUUCGGCGGUUGGGGAUGGACUCGCGGCUUAUCAGCUUGUUGGUGGGGUAGUGGCUUACCAAGGUGUUGACGGGUAGCCGGCCUGAGAGGGUGACCGGCGACAUAGGGAGUGAGGUACGGCCCAGACUCCUACGGGCGACAGGAGUGGGGAAUAUUGCACAAUGGGCGGAAGCCUGAUGCAUCAGCGUCGCGUGCGGGAUGACGGCCUUCGGGUGGUAAACCGCUAUCGCCUGUGACGAAGCGGGAGUGACGGUAAUGGGUAAAGAAGCACCGGCUAACUACGUG